rnacentral:lncRNA from 1 species
GCUAAACUAUAAAGGUAAUAAUCUGGGGAUUCUAGAAUAGAAAGAAGUAGAAACUAACAAAACACUGACAUCACAAGCACGAUGAAGUAACAUUGUAAGCCUAAUUUGGGUCUAUUUUGCUCCUAAUUGUAGUUUGUGGUGAAAUCAAUGGAACUCAUUAUUCUACAAACAAGCUUUCCACACAAUCUCCACAAACAGGUGAAGUUUCUUUCAAUGACACCAAAUGCUGCCUAUUUCACGUAACAAGAAUUGUUUCCUUCCAAAUACAAGCAAAAGAUACUCAUUUUUGCCUUGAUAAACUUUUCAAUUUCUUUUUGCUGUCGAGGGGCCUAACACCAGAAAAGCUAUACAUAUUUUCAUAGCAACCACCUACAAGGUAAGCCGAUAAUUUUAGAAGGGGCCGCUGAACUUAUU